rnacentral:rRNA from 1 species
CCAGCAGCCGCGGUAAUUCCAGCUCCAAUAGCGUAUACUAAAGUUGUUGCAGUUAAAAAGCUCGUAGUUGAAUUUCUGACUUCGGAUGUCGGUCUGCCCCAAGGGGUUGGUACCUGACUGUUCGGAGUCAUCCUCGAGAUGAAGAUGUCUGUCAUUAAGUUGAUGGGCAUGGGAUUCUCGUCAUUUACUGUGAGUAAAAUAGAGUGUUCAAAGCAGACAUUAUGUCAAUGAAUACGUUAGCAUGGAAUAAUAAGAUAGGACCUUGGUCUAUUUUGUUGGUUUGACUCCAAGGUAAUGAUUAAUAGGGACAGUUGGGGGUAUUCGUAUUCAAUUGUCAGAGGUGAAAUUCUUGGAUUUAUGGAAGACGAACUACUGCGAAAGCAUUUACCAAGGAUGUUUUCAUUAAUCAAGAACGAAAGU